GAUGAACGCUGGCGGCAUGCUUUACACAUGCAAGUCGGACGGGAAGUGGUGUUUCCAGUGGCGGCCGGGUGAGUAACGCGUAAGAACCUGCCCUUGGGAGGGGAACAACAGCUGGAAACGGUUGCUAAUACCCCGUAGGCUGAGGAGCGAAAGGAGGAAUCCGCCCAAGGAGGGGCUCGCGUCUGAUUAGCUAGUUGGUGAGGUAAUAGCUUACCAAGGCCGUGAUCAGUAGCUGGUCCGAGAGGAUGAUCAGCCACACUGGGGCUGAGACAAGGCCCAGACUCCUACGGGAGGCAGCAGUGGGGAAUUUUCCGCAAUGGGCGAAAGCCUGACGGAGCAAUGCCGCGUGGAGGUAAAAGGCCUACGGGUCAUGAACUUCUUUUCCUGGAGAAGAAACAAUGACGGUAUCUGGGGAAUAAGCAUCGGCUAACUCUGUG
rnacentral:rRNA from 1 species